rnacentral:rRNA from 1 species
CCAGUCUGCAUGGAGCCGACCUUGAAAUACCACCCUUUAAUGUUUGAUGUUCUAACGUGGGCCCCUUACCGGGGUUGCGGACAGUGUCUGGUGGGUAGUUUGACUGGGGCGGUCUCCUCCUAAAGAGUAACGGAGGAGCACGAAGGUUGGCUAAUCCUGGUCGGACAUCAGGAGGUUAGUGCAAUGGCAUAAGCCAGCUUGACUGCGAGCGUGACGGCGCGAGCAGGUGCGAAAGCAGGUCAUAGUGAUCCGGUGGUUCUGAAUGGAAGGGCCAUCGCUCAACGGAUAAAAGGUACUCCGGGGAUAACAGGCUGAUACCGCCCAAGAGUUCAUAUCGACGGCGGUGUUUGGCACCUCGAUGUCGGCUCAUCACAUCCUGGGGCUGAAGUAGGUCCCAAGGGUAUGGCUGUUCGCCAUUUAAAGUGGUACGCGAGCUGGGUUUAGAACGUCGUGAGACAGUUCGGUCCCUAUCUGCCGUGGGCGCUGGAGAACUGAGGGGGGCUGCUCCUAGUACGAGAGGACCGGAGUGGACGCAUCACUGGUGUUCGGGUUGUCAUGCCAAUGGCACUGCCCGGUAGCUAAAUGCGGAAGAGAUAAGUGCUGAAAGCAUCUAAGCACGAAACUUGCCCCGAGAUGAGUUCUCCCUGACUCCUUGAGAGUCCUGAAGGAACGUUGAAGACGACGACGUUGAUAGGCCGGGUGUGUAAGCGCAGCGAUGCGUUGAGCUAACCGGUACUAAUGAACCGUGAGGCUUAACCUU